GUCCACGCCCUAAACGAUGUCUACUAGUUGUUGGUGGAGUAAAAUCCAUGAGUAACGCAGCUAACGCGUGAAGUAGACCGCCUGGGGAGUACGAUCGCAAGAUUAAAACUCAAAUGAAUUGACGGGGGCCCGCACAAGCGGUGGAUUAUGUGGAUUAAUUCGAUGCAACGCGAAAAACCUUACCUGGCCUUGACAUGUACCGAAUUUACCAGAGAUGGUUUAGUGCUCGAAAGAGAACGGUAACACAGGUGCUGCAUGGCUGUCGU
rnacentral:rRNA from 1 species